UUUCUUGCUUUCAACACUACAGGCUGAUCCUUCAAGCUACGACAGUUUUACUUACAAAUGUUUAGCGUUUCGUGCUGCAACUAGUAGUUGAUAUUCUAGGAUGUUAUGCCUAAAAUUCAAAUUCAGCUCUCAGAGAUUAGCAAAAUUCAAGUGGAAACUCUAGAUGGCGUUGAUGUGCGUCUAUGAUGAAUAUUAUGAGUGACAAGUUAAAUGGGUGUUUGUUACGUUACCCUGUUAUGUGUUUUAAAGUUUUUUUCGUCAAAAAAUUUACGAUUGCUUUUUGUAUGUGGUGGUGUUUCGCCUUGUCAGCUAUGCCAGCUGCUGAAACAGCAGCCUGCAUUCCUGCUAUCAAUGUACCACAAGAGAUCCUGACAGUUUAGGAAGGCCACUAUUGCUUACAUGAAGAUCACCAUCCAGUUCAAGUACUGUUAAUGGACCUCAAGCCUUUUGUUUAAGCUUAGUUAUGUGUUCUGUUGUCAGUCAACGGCAGAGUCUUCAUCUACUUUGUGUUGCUAACCAUCAGUCCUCAGCAUCCCAGGUAUCCAGAUUUCCAAGUUUUUCUGAUUAGCCAACCAUGCUACAUACCCUUCAACUCUUCAUUGUGGCUUCUCAUCCUCUCUUCUUAGUCUGUUGAAUGCCAACAUUGAAUAAGGUUCAUCAUCAUUGCCUUUCCAAGACGUAAAAUCUUCAUUGUUAAUCCUGCUGUUCUUCUCACCGUUACUUAGCCAGCCCACGGGAAUAGGCUUUAACAACAUCUCAAUUUUUUUGGACUGCAAAUAUUCAUCUUCCUUCAGUACAACACUGCCGUUUUGACAAUUUCGGUAGUUUCGCCCCCAGUGGACCACACGCAACUACAUUUUCUUCGUCUUCCGUCGACUUCACCUCAUCGCUGUCUUCGUUGACGUCUUCGCCUUCAUCUCCGUCUCGUCGUUUUUGCCGUCUUCGCCUUUGUUUCAUCGCCGUCCUGGCCGUCUUUUUCUACGCCAUCACUUCAUCGCCGGCUUCUCCUUCGCCCUUUACGUAGAGAGUUCACCGUGGAUCGUCGUCCUGGUAUUGUUUUAUUUCGCAUUGUUAUGUUUAAGUUAACCCGUUGGCUGCCACCCCGUUUGCGUCCCAU